rnacentral:rRNA from 1 species
GAUGAACGCUAGCUACAGGCUUAACACAUGCAAGUCGAGGGGAAACGGCAUUGAGUGCUUGCACUCUUUGGACGUCGACCGGCGCACGGGUGAGUAACGCGUAUCCAACCUUCCCAUUACUGUGGGAUAACCUGCCGAAAGGCAGACUAAUACCGCAUAGUCUUCGAUGACGGCAUCAGAUUUGAAGUAAAGAUUUAUCGGUAAUGGAUGGGGAUGCGUCUGAUUAGCUUGUUGGCGGGGUAACGGCCCACCAAGGCUACGAUCAGUAGGGGUUCUGAGAGGAAGGUCCCCCACAUUGGAACUGAGACACGGUCCAAACUCCUACGGGAGGCAGCAGUGAGGAAUAUUGGUCAAUGGACGGAAGUCUGAACCAGCCAAGUAGCGUGCAGGAUGACGGCCCUAUGGGUUGUAAACUGCUUUUGUACGGGGAUAAAGUUAGGGACGUGUCCCUAUUUGCAGGUACCAUACGAAUAAGGACCGGCUAAUUCCGUG